GAUGAACGCUGGCGGCGUGCUUAACACAUGCAAGUCGAACGGGAAACAUUUUAAUGAAGCUUCGGCAGAUUUAGCUUGUUUCUAGUGGCGGACGGGUGAGUAACGCGUGGGUAACCUGCCUCACACUGGGGGAUAACAGUCAGAAAUGACUGCUAAUACCGCAUAAACGCACGGGAUUGCAUGAUCCAGUGUGAAAAACUCCGGUGGUGUGAGAUGGACCCGCGUUGGAUUAGCCAGUUGGCAGGGUAACGGCCUACCAAAGCGACGAUCCAUAGCCGGCCUGAGAGGGUGGACGGCCACAUUGGGACUGAGACACGGCCCAGACUCCUACGGGAGGCAGCAGUGGGGAAUAUUGCACAAUGGGGGAAACCCUGAUGCAGCGACGCCGCGUGAAGGAAGAAGUAUCUCGGUAUGUAAACUUCUAUCAGCAGGGAAGAAAAUGACG
rnacentral:rRNA from 1 species